GAGAGGAAAAAGAAAAGAGGAGUGGCGCUCAUUGACUUCAAGGGCGACAUUCGAAAUUCAACGCGGGGAUCUUCGUAAUCUGCUCUAUGCGAACCUUUACAUUACGCUAACGACAACGCAGGAUAAAGUGUCUCCGCGGGGGCUGUUCCACUCUGAAAUGGAAGUGAAAGUUUCGUAGGAAACUAAAAUGAAAAAAAGGGAAUGGAAGACGCAGCCGGGGAAAAACGUUAGAGGUUAAAAAAAAAGUUACAAAAAACAAAGUCUUUUGCCACUUGAACGAAAAAUCAUAUACCCACCGAUUACCGAAAUCCAGGCUCGACGUGUCCCCGACAUCUCAUAGGAAUUUAACGACCAGGCGAUAACGUUAAGGCAGACGAUGCCCGACGUCACGGGACGACGGUAAACUUUGGAAAUGACGCCUUUCGAAACGGAAGCAUUCGAAUGCGCUUCACGAGGAACAUGACAACUUUUGCGUAUGUAGUAUAUCGGGGAUUAAAAUUGGGUACCAUGUGAUGAAAGUGUCAAAAUCCUAUUUAUGACGUAACGGGUUUAUGCUGCCAUUGAAUCAUAAAUUUUCUUGACGUCCUAAGUAACAAGAUACACGGCAAUUACGAUACCAAUUUAAUGUAAGAAUUAUUAUGUUUUUCGCAAAGUUUCACCUUUUGUUUUACAUGUUAAAACAAUUUCUACGGAUUUACUGAAAUCCCCGUAUAACGCUAGGAAGCUGUGGAAUUUCACAACGAAACGAAGAGAAAGGGAAGGGUGCCUGGGGAAAAAAAGUUAAUUUACUUUCGAACUGCGAGAGCAACGAGAAGUUUUACGAGCAGAAAACUUUACAAACACAAACAAAGAGGAAAGGUCCAAUUCAAGCAGCCUUAGGGGACCAGGGCGUGUGCGUUGCCAACAGAGGGUUGAUAUUAUGCGGUACCAUACCCUGCCAGCAACGACGCAACCACCAUGAGAGGGUGAUAUUGUCUGCGUGUUGGGUUUAUAGUUGCCUGACUUCCGUGCUUGGCCCAUUAAAGCUCAAAUUAUUUUACAACCUGCAUCGACGUCGCCUGGAAAGUUCACCGGUCAAUCCACAAAAUAGUCUCGAUGAUAAAAGAUAAAUGAAAAAUCUGAUAUUUCAAUGAAAAUUUUUUAAGACAAGAUAUAUCACACGAGAUAAAGAAAAAUAUCGGAACUAAUAUAUAUUACAAACGACAAU